rnacentral:rRNA from 1 species
GAUGAACGCUGGCGGUAUGCUUAACACAUGCAAGUCGAACGGUACCUUCGGGUAUAGUGGCGGACGGGUGAGUAACGCGUGAGAAUCUAUCUUCAGGUCGGGGACAACAGUUAGAAAUGACUGCUAAUACCGGAUGUGCCGAAAGGUAAAAGAUUUAUUGCCUGAAAAAGAGCUCGCGUCAGAUUAGCUAGUAGGUGGUGUAAGAGACUACCUAGGCUUCGAUCUGUAGCUGGUCUGAGAGGACGAUCAGCCACACUGGAACUGAGACACGGUCCAGACUCCUACGGGAGGCAGCAGUGGGGAAUUUUCCGCAAUGGGCGAAAGCCUGACGGAGCAAUACCGCGUGAGAGACGAAGGCUCUUGGGUCGUAAACCUCUUUUCUCAAGGAAGAUUCAGACGGUACUUGAGGAAUAAGCAUCGGCUAACUCUGUG